rnacentral:rRNA from 1 species
UACAGAGGUCUCAAGCGUUGUUCGGAUUCAUUGGGCGUAAAGGGUGCGUAGGUGGCGCUGUAAGUCGGGUGUGAAAUUUCGGAGCUUAACUCCGAAACUGCAUUCGAUACUGCGGUGCUUGAGGACUGGAGAGGAGACUGGAAUUCAUGGUGUAGCAGUGAAAUGCGUAGAGAUCGGGAGGAAUACCUGUGGCGAAGGCGGCCUACUGGGCCGGACCUGACG